UACAGAGACUGCGAGCGUUAUUUGGAUUCACUGGGCGUAAAGGGUGCGCAGGCGGCCAAGUGUGUGAGGCGUGAAAGCCCGGGGCUUAACCCCGGAAUUGCACCUCAAACUACAUGGCUAGAGCAUUGGAGAGGGUAGCAGAAUUCACGGUGUAGCAGUGAAAUGCGUAGAUAUCGUGAGGAAUACCAGAGGCGAAGGCGGCUACCUGGACAAUUGCUGACGCUCAGGCACGAAAGCGUGGGGAGCAAAAGGG
rnacentral:rRNA from 1 species